GUGGGGAAUAUUGCACAAUGGGCGCAAGCCUGAUGCAGCAACGCCGCGUGGGGGAUGACGGCCUUCGGGUUGUAAACCUCUUUUAGUAGGGAAGAAGCGAAAGUGACGGUACCUGCAGAAAAAGCACCGGCUAACUACGUGCCAGCAGCCGCGGUAAUACGUAGGGUGCAAGCGUUGUCCGGAAUUAUUGGGCGUAAAGAGCUCGUAGGCGGUUUGUCGCGUCUGCUGUGAAAUCCCGAGGCGCAACCUCGGGCCUGCAGUGGGUACGGGCAGACUAGAGUGCGGUAGGGGAGAUUGGAAUUCCUGGUGUAGCGGUGGAAUGCGCAGAUAUCAGGAGGAACACCGAUGGCGAAGGCAGAUCUCUGGGCCGCUACUGACGCUGAGGAGCGAAAGCAUGGGGAGCGAACAGGAUUAGAAACCCUAGUGUCC
rnacentral:rRNA from 1 species